UACGGGGGGGUCCAAGCGUUGUUCGGAAUCACUGGGCGUAAAGCGCAUGUAGGUGGCUUUUUCAAGUCAACUGUGAAAGCCCAGGGCCUAACCCUGGAAGUGCAGUUGAUACUGUUGAGCUUGAGUACGAGAGAGGAUAGUGGAAUUCCUGGUGUAGUGGUGAAAUACGUAGAUAUCAGGAGGAACAUCGGUGGCGAAGGCGGCUAUCUGGCUCGAUACUGACACUGAGAUGCGAAAAGCGUGGGGGAUCAAAACAGG
rnacentral:rRNA from 1 species